AAAGCUGAACCAAACACCCCCCAAGUGCAGUAUCUGUUCUUAUUAAUUUAAUAUAUGAUACGUGGGCCAUCGGUUCACAUGAUAUUAAAUUAAUUUUUCCAGGGAGAGGAGCUCAUCACGGCAGCUUGCUGCUGGGGCCUCUUGCUCGUAGCCCAUGCGUCACACUGCUGCACGGGCCUGGCGAACCCCUC